rnacentral:rRNA from 1 species
AGAGUUUGAUCCUGGCUCAGGACGAACGCUGGCGGCGUGCCUAAUACAUGCAAGUCGAGCGGACCUUUCGGGGUCAGCGGCGGACGGGUGAGUAACACGUGGGCAAUCUGCCCGAUACUCUGGGAUAACGCUUGGAAACGAGUGCUAAUACCGGAUGGUCUUCUUGGCCGCAUGGCCGAGAAGGAAAAGACGCGUUCGCGUCGGUGUCGGAUGAGCCCGCGGCGCAUUAGCUAGUUGGUGAGGUAACGGCCCACCAAGGCGACGAUGCGUAGCCGACCUGAGAGGGUGACCGGCCACACUGGGACUGAGACACGGCCCAGACUCCUACGGGAGGCAGCAGUAGGGAAUCUUCCACAAUGGGCGAAAGCCUGAUGGAGCAACGCCGCGUGAGUGAUGAAGGCCUUCGGGUUGUAAAACUCUGUCAUUCGGGACGAACCGGAGUCUGAGGAAAUGCAGACUCUCUGACGGUACCGGAGGAGGAAGCCCCGGCUAACUACGUGCCAGCAGCCGCGGUAAUACGUAGGGGGCAAGCGUUGUCCGGAUUCACUGGGCGUAAAGUGCGCGCAGGCGGUGAUGUAAGUCUGAGGUGAAAACCCGAAGCUCAACUUCGGGACUGCCUUUGGAUACUGCGUCACUUGAGGAUAGGAGAGGCAAGGGGAAUUCCACGUGUAGCGGUGAAAUGCGUAGAGAUGUGGAGGAACACCUGUGGCGAAGGCGCCUUGCUGGCCUAUUUCUGACGCUGAGGCGCGAAAGCGUGGGGAGCAAACAGGAUUAGAUACCCUGGUAGUCCACGCUGUAAACGAUGAGUGCUAGGUGUAGGUGGGCUCAUACCCAUCUGUGCCGAAGCUAACGCAUUAAGCACUCCGCCUGGGGAGUACGGUCGCAAGACUGAAACUCAAAGGAAUUGACGGGGGCCCGCACAAGCAGUGGAGCAUGUGGUUUAAUUCGAAGCAACGCGAAGAACCUUACCAGGACUUGACAUCCCAUAGACCAGUCUAGAGAUAGACUUUCCCUUCGGGGCUGUGGUGACAGGUGGUGCAUGGUUGUCGUCAGCUCGUGUCGUGAGAUGUUGGGUUAAGUCCCGCAACGAGCGCAACCCUUACUUUGUGUUGCCAGCAUUCAGUUGGGCACUCACAAGGGACUGCCGCCGAUAAGGCGGAGGAAGGUGGGGAUGACGUCAAAUCAUCAUGCCCCUUAUGUCCUGGGCUACACACGUGCUACAAUGGGCGGUACAACGGGAUGCGAAGCCGCGAGGUGGAGCCAAACCCUGAAAACCGUUCGUAGUUCGGAUUGUAGGCUGCAACUCGCCUACAUGAAGCCGGAAUUGCUAGUAAUCGCGGAUCAGCAUGCCGCGGUGAAUCCGUUCCCGGGCCUUGUACACACCGCCCGU